rnacentral:rRNA from 14 species
GCUUACGGCCACACUGCCUGGUUCACGCCGGAUCACGUUUGAUCUCGGAAGCUAAGAUAGGUUGGGCCUGGUUAGUACUUGGAUGGGAGACCACCUGGGAAUACCAGGUGCUGUAAGCU